rnacentral:lncRNA from 1 species
CAAAAAUUCUUCUAGUUAAUGUUACCAACUAUCCUUGUAAGACAUAAAUCUAGACCAACAGCUAAAAACUUUAAAGUGUCAACAAAAAUAAUCUAAAAAUGUUGUUUUGAGGCAUUUUGUUAGUUGAAACAGAGGUUUUAUGACAUUGAAGAUUAAAGUUUUAGAAUGCCUUUUGAUCAAUUUUUCAACACAGGGCAUUGAAAAUGUACUUUUUCAAAGUAAA